rnacentral:rRNA from 1 species
GACGUAGGGCGCGAGCGUUGUCCGGAUUUAUUGGGCGUAAAGAGCGUGUAGGCGGCCAGGUAGGUCCGUUGUGAAAACUCGAGGCUCAACCUCGAGACGUCGGCGGAAACCCUCUGGCUAGAGUCCGGAAGAGGAGAGUGGAAUUCCUGGUGUAGCGGUGAAAUGCGCAGAUAUCAGGAAGAACACCCGUGGCGAAGGCGGCUCUCUGGGACGGUACUGACGCUGAGGCGCGAAAGCGUGGGGAUCAAACAGG